AUGUAAUAUAAAAAAUGCUUGAUGUUACAUGUAUAUUGAAUUAAAACACGUCAUUCCCAGUCAACAACUUUCGAUCGGGAUCGGAAUACGAAAUAAAAUUUCUUAUAUCCGGUUGCAAAGUGAAACUGCUUCAUGCUUCAAGUUAUUGAAUUAUGUAGCAAUUGCACGUUACACAUUAGAGAACUGUUCCUUUUGAUAAAGAAAGUCACAAAAUAGAUACAAAAUGAGUGUACCUUAUUCAUUACUGUUACCGAGCUUUCGUCGGUGAAAAUCUCGAAAUGGCGUGUUUCGCUGCGCUUCGUCCACAUUUUCUAUGUGGUGACUGAAGUCUGGUCAGUCGGCAGGCAGCAGUACUCAAUUUACCGCAUUCCUACAAUCCAACUGAAAUUACGGGUAUUCAGAAUCGGCCUUCGAACAGUUGAUGUUGCAGAAACAGAAACUUUGUAAUUCUCCAAAACAUUGACGAGCAGAUGAAGAGAGAGUCGACUCUCAGGCCCUUCAGGCCUUUGAUUAUCCUCUUGGACUAGUGACAGGUGUCAAUGGGUUUUUUUUCUUCAGAAGCCCGCCCUGGUAGAUGGAAUCUGCCACUUGAACAGCAGCACUGUCCAGAGACAGUGGUUGAUGAUGGAUAUAUGACUUUUUCUCAGCCCAUCAUUACCUGCUGGAGUGCUGGUAGAGGCUGAACGCUUUAAUAAAUAUAACUGUGGUCUUGCUGAGAUGUAGUAAUCCAUGGGAAUUUUCCAAAGAAGAUUCAAGAGAACAUUCUGGACCUUAAAAGAUGUUGACACCCUGCUGAUGGAGCAGAAGCAGAAAGCAGUUCUCUUACCAUCAGAUCUGAUCCAUUUUUGGAGAUAGCCUUUUGUAUGGAGCUGGGUAACGGUUACUGGAGACAUGCUGUUGAUUGAUGAGGAUAAUUUUCCCGAGACUCUGACAUAUUGCAGGACCUGGAUAGCUCUACUGGUGUUCAAAAUGCCAGGACUGUGGAGUGUUGUGAUGUUAUUGAUGGUCAACAGAAGACUGUGACCUUGAAUCUGAAGAUCUGUGAUGAAGACUGGACGUUUGGGGUCACUCUCUGUUACAGUACUACAAAUCUAACAGUGUUAAACUCAGCCACAAAGAGGUUGUCUCUGAUGUCCACACAUAAACCUGAUGGAGACUCUAAAUCACAGUGAAUGUAACGGAGGAACUGUCCGUCCUGAUCUAGGAUGUGGAUACGGUGAUUGUUACAGUCUGCUGUCAGGAUGUGACUCUGGCUGUCUGUAGUGAUGCCGUAUGGAUUAAAUGAUUGCUUGGUAUUAGAGGGAUGACCAGUGUAUCUAAAUCGGAGUUUUCCUGACUGAUUGACCACCACUACUGCUCUAGCUUUAUUGUCAGUCACACAGAUAUCCAGGUUCUUGUUCUCACUGAGGUAUUUAGUGUAAGGACCAGAUGAAUAGAGAGGACGACCCUGAUCAUCAAACUGAAUGCUUUGUUUCUCUGUGGAGCCGGAGUAACGCACGACUUUGGAUUGUUUGACAUCAUCACUGUCCAUGAUAACCAGGAGAUCGUUACCCGCGGUACAGCAGACAUUGACAGGACUCCACCCCUGUAGUGUGAUCACGAUUGAGUUGAGUGGAACAAUGAACCUCCGGAUAUCUAUGUACAUUUACACGUGUAGGAUUAAACUUCUGUUGUACUCGCGCAUGCGAGCUUAUCCUA